rnacentral:rRNA from 1 species
GACGAACGCUGGCGGCGUGCUUAACACAUGCAAGUCGAACGGAAAGGCCCUGCUUUUGUGGGGUGCUCGAGUGGCGAACGGGUGAGUAACACGUGAGUAACCUGCCCUUGACUUUGGGAUAACUUCAGGAAACUGGGGCUAAUACCGGAUAGGAGCUCCUGCUGCAUGGUGGGGGUUGGAAAGUGUCGGCGGUUGGGGAUGGACUCGCGGCUUAUCAGCUUGUUGGUGGGGUAGUGGCUUACCAAGGCUUUGACGGGUAGCCGGCCUGAGAGGGUGACCGGCCACAUUGGGACUGAGAUACGGCCCAGCCUCCUACGGGAGGCAGCAGUGGGGAAUAUUGCACAAUGGGCGGAAGCCUGAUGCAGCAACGCCGCGUGCGGGAUGACGGCCUUCGGGUUGUAAACCGCUUUCGCCUGUGACGAAGCGUGAGUGACGGUAAUGGGUAAAGAAGCACCGGCUAACUACGUG